AAAUAGAUACCCUNGGUAGUCCACGCCGUAAAACGACUGGAUGCUAGCUGUUAGGAGUAUCGACCCUCCUAGUAGCGUAGCUAACGCGUUAAGCAUCCCGCCUGUGGAGUACGAGCGCAAGCUUAAAACAUAAAGGAAUUGACGGGGACCCGCACAAGCGGUGGAGCGUGUUGUUUAAUUCGAUGGUAAGCGAAGAACCUUACCCAGGCUUGACAUCCUGCCAAAGACUCCGAAAGGAGACUGUGCCUUCGGGCCGCAGUGACAGGUGAUGCAUGGCCGUCGUCAGCUCGUGUCGUGAGAUGUUUGGUUAAGUCCAUCAACGAGCGCAACCCCUAUGACUAGUUGUAUUUCUCUAGUCAGACUGCCCUGGCAACAGGGAGGAAGGAGGGGAUGAUGUCAGGUCAGUAUCUCCCUUACGCCUGGGGCUACAAACACGCUACAAUGGCCGGUACAAAGGGCAGCCAACCCGCGAGGGGGAGCAAAUCCCAUCAAAGCCGGUCUCAGUUCGGAUUGCAGGCUGAAACUCG
rnacentral:rRNA from 1 species